UACGAAGGGGGCUAGCGUUGCUCGGAAUCACUGGGCGUAAAGGGUGCGUAGGCGGGCCUUUAAGUCAGGGGUGAAAUCCUGGAGCUCAACUCCAGAACUGCCUUUGAUACUGAGGAGCUUGAGUCCGGGAGAGGUGAGUGGAACUGCGAGUGUAGAGGUGAAAUUCGUAGAUAUUCGCAAGAACACCAGUGGCGAAGGCGGCUCACUGGCCCGGUACUGACGCUGAGGUGCGAAAGCGUGGGGAGCAAACAGG
rnacentral:rRNA from 1 species